UACAGAGGGGGCAAGCGUUGUUCGGAAUUACUGGGCGUAAAGGGCGCGUAGGCGGCCUUCUAAGUCGAACGUGAAAUCCCCGGGCUCAACCCGGGAACUGCGUCCGAUACUGGAAGGCUUGAAUCCGGGAGAGGGAUGCGGAAUUCCAGGUGUAGCGGUGAAAUGCGUAGAUAUCUGGAGGAACACCGGUGGCGAAGGCGGCUCACUGGCCCGGUACUGACGCUGAGGCGCGAAAGCGUGGGGAGCAAACAGG
rnacentral:rRNA from 1 species